rnacentral:lncRNA from 1 species
CUUUACUAUACUGAAGCUAUUAAAUCUUGACAAAAAUUAUUUACUGAGGGUCCUUUCCUUAUUCCAAUAAGACUAGAUAAAAUUUUGGACAGCAAAGCAGUCUUUACUAUUUUGAAGCCAAUGAACUUGACAAUUUUUACUGAAGUUCCUGUCCUUUCUCUAAUAACUCUGGAUAAAUUUAUUUGUUGUUUGUUGUUUUUUUUUUUUUUUUUUUUUUUAUAGCAAAGCAGUCUUACUAUUUUGAAGCCAAUAUAAGUUGACAGAUUUAUUUACUGGAGUGCCUUUUUCUUUCUCAAUAACUCUGGAUAAAUUUUGGACAGCAAAGCAGUCUUUACUAUUCCUAAGCUAAUGUGACUUGAUAAAUUUGUUGACUUUGUUGUUUUCCUUUCUCUAAGAAAUUUGGUAGAAUUUGGGCAGCAAAACAGUAUUUACUAUCCUUGACGUUUGACGAACAUAUAUAUAAAUUGGUGCACAGAUGACACAGAGUAUGUAAGCUAUGCGUAAGAUAGGGUGAUCCCUAUGGACAGCAAAACUGUUUUUACUAUCUUGAUGAUAAAGCUGAAGAAUCAGGUUAUAUGAUGAUUAUAAUAUAGAAUAAAUAUAGGGUUAUGACAAAAAUAGGAUGAUCUCUAGUUAAAUGCUCUUAGCGGAAUGUAUGUUGAUAGUAAUGCAGAAGCUGAAUUUGUCUGAUAUAUAAAAAUGGACAGCAAAACUGUUUUUACUAUCCAAGAUUUCUGAACCAAACUCUUGUUAUCUAUAUUAUGCAGAAGCAAUUAUAACUAUAGUGAUGAAGCUGUGUCAGAGAUAUGGUGUUAUUAUGUUGUUAUAUGAUGGGAUGACGUAGACAAUAUUUAAAUUCUUUUCCUUAUUUAUAACUGUAUCAGGUUCACUUGGAAUUGUAUAGCAAUUAAGGCAGCAAAACUGUUUUUACUACCUUUACUAAAAGUUAUUUCUCCUUUUUUUUUUUUUUUUUUUUUUUUUUUUUUCUCAGAAUAUGUAUGUUGAUAGUAAUGCAAAGCUGAAUUUGUCUGAUAUAUAGAAAUGGACAGCAAAACUGUUUUUACUAUCCAAAUUUUCUGAACCGAACUCUUGUUAUCUAUAUUAUGCAGAAGCAAUAUAACUAAUAGUGAUGAAGCUGUGUCAGAGAUAUGGUGUUAUUAUGUUGUUAUAUAUGAUGGGGUGACGUAGACAAUCUUUUACUUCUUUUCCUUAUUUAUAACUGUUUCAGGUUCACUUGGAUUGUAUAGCAAUUAGGCAGCAAAACUGUUUUUACUACCCUUACUAAAGUUAUUCUCCCUUUUUUUUCCCUCAGACUAUGUUGGAUUGUGUGAUUUUAGUCAAAAUUAAAGUUGCAUCCUUAACUUAUUGGUUGUAAUGAUGUUAAUUCAAUUGACAAUAGAAAAAUCUGUAUGAGCAGCAAAACAGUUUUUACAGCUCAGUUUUCAAAUUUUGAGUUUUUGGAUUUUCUGUGCCUGUGGCGAUGCUUUUUUGAUUUUGUGAAACAGUCAAACACCAUCUGUCUGCCAAUGCGUUGAUACCAGAGUUUUGCAAGCAAUGGGUUGGGGU